rnacentral:rRNA from 1 species
UGCAUAUCCAAAAAGCGGAGGAAAAGAAACCAACAGGGAUUGCCUCAGUAGCGGCGAGUGAAGCGGCAAGAGCUCAGAUUUGAAAUCGUGUUUCGGCACGAGUUGUAGAGUGUAGGCUGGAGUCUCUGUGGAGCGCGGUGUCCAAGUCCCUUGGAACAGGGUGCCUGAGAGGGUGAGAGCCCCGUGGGGUGCUGCGCGAAGCUUUGAGGCCCUGCUGACGAGUCGAGUUGUUUGGGAAUGCAGCUCUAAGCGGGUGGUAAAUUCCAUCUAAGGCUAAAUAUUGGCGAGAGACCGAUAGCGAACAAGUACUGUGAAGGAAAGAUGAAAAGCACUUUGAAAAGAGAGUGAAACAGCACGUGAAAUUGUUGAAAGGGAAGGGUAUUGGGCCCGACAUGGGGAGUGCGCACCGCUGUCUCUUGUAGGCGGCGCUCUGGGCGCUCUCUGGGCCAGCAUCGGUUCUUGCUGCGAGAGAAGUGGUGCCGGAAAGUGGCUCUUCGGAGUGUUAUAGCCGGUGCCGGAUGUCGCGUGCGGGGACCGAGGGCUGCGACAUCUGUCUCGGAUGCUGGCACAACGGCGCAAUACCGCCCGUCUUGAAACACGGACCA